UACGUAGGGUGCAAGCGUUGUCCGGAAUUAUUGGGCGUAAAGAGCUCGUAGGCGGUUUGUCGCGUCUGCUGUGAAAAUCCAGGGCUUAACCCUGGACCUGCAGUGGGUACGGGCAGACUAGAGUGCGGUAGGGGAGAUCGGAAUUCCUGGUGUAGCGGUGAAAUGCGCAGAUAUCAGGAGGAACACCGGUGGCGAAGGCGACGUCCUGGACCGGCAUUGACGCUGAGGCGCGAAAGCCAGGGGAGCAAACGGG
rnacentral:rRNA from 1 species